rnacentral:lncRNA from 1 species
GGUCCUGUUCAUCACCUUGCUUUAUCAGAUGAUGUGCAAAGACAGCACGGUGACCCACUCCUCUGCCAGGCCUGGGGGCAGCAUCUUGGUCUCUUUCCAGGCGGUGAAGCAACUAGCUCACUACGAGUUUCACCCCUCACACCGCUGCUGGGGGCUUCAGGGAAGCGCGGCAGAGCCGGCCGGCUUCCCCAAGCACCCGCGGAGCAGGGGACAAAGGUAAAGCAAAGGGGAAAGGAGACACCUCGGGACACGGCAAGGGCCCGGAGCUCCGUCCGUCCCUGCGGCCUCCCUCAGGGGCGGGAGCGGAGCAGCCCUCCGUUCGCCCCGCAGCGCCCAGGGAGCCGCAACCACCCGCCGCUAGUGCUCCGCUCUGCUCCGGGAUCCGCACGCCGUGUCGGACCGCCCCUUCUCACCCCGGAACUACAGCUCCCGGCGGGCGCCACGGCAGAGGGGCUCUCCGUGAGGCAGCGCCGGCCUCCCGAACUACAUCUCCCAGCGUGCCGCAGCGGCCAUCCCGCCUCCAGCCGCCGCCUUCCCGUCUCCGCGGUGAGAAAAUAACCCUGAAGUUCCCCGGGAUCAGCUGAUCCAGGCUGACAACGAGGGGAGCGGGCGGAGGGGCGCGGGUACUGCCCGGUCCUGCCCAGCCCAGCUGGGAGCUUCGCCUGCAUGGUCGGGCCGCCGCCCCGGCCGCUGCGGGAGGAGAACUGGGACACCCGCCGCCCCAACCCCAGUAGCGGAGGGGGCGGCGGGGGGGAGGAGGAAGCGGCGGCCGGGACCCGACUCCUUAGUCACCGGGUGCCGGGGGGAGGAAGGGGAAGUGGGGCGGCCGCCGGCUUGUAAACAAUAGCCCCGUGCCGCGCCGCCUUUGUUCCCGGCCCCCCACCGCAGCUCCCCGCCCGCUGCCACCGCUCAGUAAGAGGAGACCGGGAGACUUCCCCCUGUCUUCCGGGCCGCCGGUGAGGAAUCAUAGGGUGCCGCGCUGGGCGCAGCCUCAGGUAGGUGCGGGAGCAGGAGCGGGGCACCGGCAUUGCGUAAGCACGGCGCGGCCCGAGCCACAAGUGCGGCGGGCCAGCGCAGCCGUUCACCGCCGGGUGUGUGGAGCGGCCGGGGCCAGCCCGCUGCGAGAGCGACUCCGUGCUGGCUGCGGAGGGGCGAGGGAGGCGGCCGAGGGGCCCGCGCAGCCCCGCGGCACCAGGUCUAGACAAAGGCGGGCGGGUGCGCGGCUGGCCCCUGGGGCGCCGGUUCCGGGGGCUGCGAGGGGAACGGAGGAGGAGAGGAUCCGUUAGUUCGGCCGCGGUGGCGAUCGCUAUACAGCGUCGCUAGAAGAAGCGCACAAAGAGAGUGGAUUUUUGUUUAUCUGGCGAAGCACAUCAGGAAAUUCCCAGCAAAUAAAUACUGUGAACUCUGAAGGAGGAGCUUAGCCGGGGAGUGAAAGCAGAGAAUUUUCUAGUAUUGACAGUCUUCUGUGUGUGUGUGUACAUAUAUAUGCACUUGUGCAUUUCUGAUGUUUUAUUU